rnacentral:rRNA from 1 species
GAGGAUUCCUCUAGUAACGGCGAGUGAACGUGGAAAAGCCCAGCGCUGAAUCCAUCGGCCACUGGUCGCUUGGAAUUGUAGCGUAUAGGUGCGGCUGUCCGUUCGUUUCGUGCACCCAAAGUCCCCUUGAGCGGGGCUAUAGUCCAAAGAAGGUGCUAGACCUGUACGGGUGGCGAGGCGAUCGGUGGGUCGCUCCUUGGAGUCGGGUUGCCUGGGAUCGCAGCCCAAAGUUGGUGGUAGACCUCAUCUAAGGCUAAAUAUGGCCACGAAACCGAUAGCAAACAAGUACCGUGAGGGAAAGUUGCAAAGAACUUUGAAGAGAGAGUUCAAGAGGGCGUGAAACCGCUGAGAUUGAAACGGAUAGAGUUGACGAAACUCGGCUGCAUUCAUCCCGUCGGCCUAGCGAGCCGAUCGCUUUGACUUCCUCGACGAGGGCAUGGCUGUCGGUAAUCGCCGGGUAAUUGAUGGGUGUAUUUGCGGCUGGUAUGCGCUGAGAGUUUUGCUAUCGCAUGUUGACGGAUGUGCAGUGGACCAUCCCUUCCGGGCGUGGAACCCUUCGCAUUCUGAGGCAUGUCGGUCGUAAAAUUUUGCAACGUUGCGUCUCCGCUAUGGUGCGUCGGCUUUUUCGAGCUGUUAUGGCUGCUGGGUGGUCGCAUGCGACCGCCUGUAGUCAUCAAUGGCGCGAAGAAGUGCUCGAACGCGUCGAGGCGUGCAUCUCGGUGUGAACGUCGACCACCUAUCC